CUUUUUCUUUACACUGGUGAUAGAAUCUGAAGAACAAAAAAAACAGGAAACAAAAGAAAGAUAGAUUCAUAGAGAAAAAUAUUAAAAACAAAUAAAAAAAGUUCCUUUGUUUUUAUAUUCAAUCUUCAGUUGAAUGAAUUCAAUACUGAUGAAAUUCAUCGAAGAAUGCUGCUUUUCUCAUAGACUUCUACUCUUCUACACUUGCAAGAGAUUCUGGUAAUAUGAAUUCUAACAGAAAAUAUCCUCUCCAAGAGACUUUGCAGCAGUUAUCCUCUUGAAACACCAAACAGUAUACUGUUUUUCCACUAACUUCCGCCAUAAGAAACUCAGAAAACUGUUAUGCGUAUUCUUCUUCUUCUUCUUUCAGCAGCCUGACGAGGAAGACGAGGACUAUACAGUAAAAAAUAAUUACAAUUUUCAAAAAGAGAAUUAGAAGAAGAAGAAGAACAAAAAGUUUACAAAAAAAAAAAAAAAGAAGAAGAACAAAAGAAAAAUAUUACCUUUAGAGAAAGGUUUUUAUCAGAUUCGUUUGACUUGGAUACCCUACUUUCCUUCCAAAUCCUACGUAAGAAAAAAAAAUACAAUCAUGAUUCAUAAGAAAAAAAGCUUGAUUCUUGUUGUUUUUUGUUCAUAAAUCAAAUAGCCUACAACUAUAAAUUUUAAACUGAUAAAAAAACUUGAAAAAACUGAGAGAAAGAUGGACG
rnacentral:lncRNA from 1 species